rnacentral:misc_RNA from 1 species
GAUGAAGAACGUAGCGAAAUGCGAUACGUAAUGUGAAUUGCAGAAUUCAGUGAAUCAUCGAGUCUUUGAACGCACAUUGCGCCCUCUGGUAUUCCGGAGGGCAUGCCUGUCCGAGCGUCAUUGCUGCCCUCAAGCACGGCUUGUGUGUUGGGCCCCGCCCCCCGAUCCCGGGGGGCGGGCCCGAAAGGCAGCGGCGGCACCGCGUCCGGUCCUCGAGCGUAUGGGGCUUUGUCACCCGCUCUGUAGGCCCGGCCGGCGCUUGCCGAUCAACCAAACUUUUUUCCAGGUUGAUCUCGGAUCAGGUAGGGAUACCCGCUGAACUUAAGCAUAUCAAUAAGCGGAGGA